AGGAAAGAAAUUAUAAUAUACGUUAGAUCUACAACAUCAUUUUUUUUUUUUUGAGAAUUACAACAUCAUUAUCUUUACUUCCUAAUAUUCCUUUAAAACAUACAAAAGAAGAAUGCAUGGAGCAACCCUUGUCGAGAACACAAGCAGAAUCCAAAAGGCUUCUAAGCUUGGUGAUGAGAGCGAUCUUUGCGAUUUGAGCUAUUAGUGGAGAUCUCCAUGCGGCGCAUUGGUGGCGACGACGCAUGAGGAUGUCGACGAAAAAGAGCGGCGUGGGCAUGAGGAUUGUCGAUGGGAAAGGUGUGAACGACGAAGAAAAGAUCAAACCAUCGCGAGCUGACGAAAGAGAUGACUUAGCUGUAGUAGAUCUUCUAAGGGAGCUCAAGGAGACAUGUUCAAAUCAGGAAGGAUCAGUUUUUGUAAUUUUUUUCUUAAGGCAAGCAUUUUCCUCAGCACAUGUUGUACAACCACCUUGAGCAGCGUGGAAGCAGCUUGUUAUUAUUCCAUAAAGUUGGCAAAUUAAAAAAUUGUUUGAUUUGCCCGAAUUAGAUUGUAGCGGUUUCAGCGACUUUGACCAGGUCGAAAGCAUGCUCGAUUUGAAAACAGACUUGACCCAUAGAUCGGUAUGUCCGAGCCGGCUUUUAAACCUAUGCGUGCGACAUUGGGGAGAAAAGGAUCUAAAUGACGACUUAGAGGAUAAGAAUAACAAUGAAGAGGAAUAGGUUCUGAUUACUAAUUGUUGCUUGUUGAAAUACUUGGUGAUGUGUGAAGGCCUUCACGAUACUUUGAUGGAUGACAUAUAUCUAGGAGGUGUGGUCGACGACCUUGACGCAUAUGCAUGUACAUGUUGACGCCGGAGAAGUGGUGGUAGUAAGGAGGAUGAUGGGCUCCAAGGCCUUAGAAGCGGAGGAUCUCAAAAUUAAUGAUAUUUUUAAUUAUAAAAAUUUGAAUUAUGCCCACUUGAUCAUAAUCCUUUAAUAACUUCAAAUUAUGAAAAAACAGGUUGUUAGUGAUAGUAAUUUUAGAUCUAUUUCCUA